UAUACAAAGAAGAGUUUGAUCCUGGCUCAGGAUGAACGCUAGCGGCAGGCUUAACACAUGCAAGUCGAGGGGCAGCGCGAUGUAGCAAUACAUUGGCGGCGACCGGCGGAAGGGUGCGUAACACGUGAGCAACUUGCCCGUAUCAGGGGGAUAACCGAUGGAAACGUCGCCUAAUACCCCAUAACAACAUCAGCUGCAUGGCAGAUGUUUGAAAGCUACGGUGGAUACGGAUAGGCUCGCGGGACAUUAGCUAGUUGGAGUGGUAACGGCACACCAAGGCGACGAUGUCUAGGGGUUCUGAGAGGAAGG
rnacentral:rRNA from 1 species